rnacentral:rRNA from 1 species
GACGAACGCUGGCGGCGUGCCUAAUACAUGCAAGUCGAACGCAGUGGGGACGGGUGAGUAACACGUUGGUAACCUCCCAUCAGAGGGGAUAACACUUGGAAACAGGUGCUAAACCGAUCCUGAUGGAUGGACCCCCGGUUCAUUAGCUAGUUGGUGAGGUAACGGCUCACCAAGGCCACGAUGCAGAGCAGACCUGAGAGGGUGCUCGGCCACACGGGGACUGAGACACGGCCGAGAAUCCUACGGGAGGCAGCAGUAGGGAAUCUUCGGCAAUGGACGAAAGUCUGACCGAGCAACGCCGCGGGAGUGAAGAAGGUUUUCGGAUCGUAAAACUCUGUUGUUAGAGAAGCGGUAUCUAACCAGAAAGCCACGGCUAACUACGUGCCAGCAGCCGCGGUAAUAC